UACGUAGGGGGCUAGCGUUGUCCGGAAUCAUUGGGCGUAAAGAGCGCGUAGGCGGCCAACUAAGUCGGAUGUGAAAUCCCCAGGCUUAACCUGGGAACUGCAUCCGAUACUGGAUGGCUUGAAUUCGGGAGAGGGAUGCAGAUUCAGGUGUAGCGGUGAAAUGCGUAGAUAUCUGGAGGAAUACCGGUGGCGAAGGCGGCAUCCUGGACCGGUACUGACGCUGAUGGCGCGAAAAGCGGUGGGGAGACCAAACAGG
rnacentral:rRNA from 1 species